AGUGAACGCUGGCGGUAGGCCUAACACAUGCAAGCCGAACGGCAGCACAGUAAGAGCUUGCUCUUACGGGUGGCGAGUGGCGGACGGGUGAGGAAUACAUCGGAAUCUACUUUUUCGUGGGGGAUAACGUAGGGAAACUUACGCUAAUACCGCAUACGACCUACGGGUGAAAGCAGGGGAUCUUCGGACCUUGCGCGAUUGAAUGAGCCGAUGUCGGAUUAGCUAGUUGGCGGGGUAAAGGCCCACCAAGGCGACGAUCCGUAGCUGGUCUGAGAGGAUGAUCAGCCACACUGGAACUGAGACACGGUCCAGACUCCUACGGGAGGCAGCAGUGGGGAAUAUUGGACAAUGGGCGCAAGCCUGAUCCAGCCAUACCGCGUGGGUGAAGAAGGCCUUCGGGUUGUAAAGCCCUUUUGUUGGGAAAGAAAAGCAGCAGGUUAAUACCCCGCUGUUCUGACGGUACCCAAAGAAUAAGCACCGGCUAACUUCGG
rnacentral:rRNA from 1 species